rnacentral:lncRNA from 1 species
CAGUAAGGUCAUCGUGAGUGUCUAAUCCAUCAACCGGACAGGGGUCAGACUGACCAUUUCUUUGUAAGGCUAUGUUAUAGCAGUGUCUUGCCAGGACUUGAUCUCUUCUGACCUCUCCGACCCUUUGGCUUGUAGGAAAUUACAAUUUCAAAUGGUAGGUCGAUACCACAGCUCGGUGGGCGUUGAGGCCAGGUCGGCCGAGUAUUACGUUGUAGGCAGAUGGUGUCCUUACUACCAGGAAAUCCACUUGUGCUCUAGAUUAUUUUGGACACCGACCUGCAACUACGGUCAAAGUUAUUACUCCUUCCACUGGCACAGCAUCACCAGUAAACCCUACCAAUGCGGUGCUUAUCGGCCCUAAUCGAUCAUCCGAAAUGGAUAUUUUUGAGAAUACAUCGUAAAAUAAAAUAUCGACUGAGCUUUCACUA